UUGUGCAGCAAAUCAAAGACAAUCAGAGCCCACUUGUUACAUACCUUCUGGAAGUGGCAAAACUUCAAUGGCAGCUACAAUUGGUAUAGAGAGUGAUUUCCCAUAUGUCAAGAUGAAAGCAUGAUUGGUCUCGGUGAAGCAACUAAAUGUGCACAAAUUGUCAAGGCAUGCAGUAGUGAUGAAGAUGGUUUGCUUGGUUUUGACGUACAUAGUGAUGGCCAUGGCCAAAGGCAACUAACUGUUCUAGCAAGAGAUGAGCGAAUGGAGAUCACCUCAAGCAUGAAUGGUGCUCCUCUGUUCCCUCCAAAGAAGAAAUAUUUUUCUUGUAUCGAAAUGAAUGGU